rfam:Mycobacterium sp. E2978 contig_91, whole genome shotgun sequence.
UUUGAUCGAGCCCAGCCACAACGGGCGUUCGGCGCUGCGCGCGGCGCCGUAGGUGGCGAUCAGCGCGCCCGCCUC